CCCAGGGCUGUUCUCAAGGUUUUGGCGGGAUUUCUCUUCUUGCUGGCACGAACUGCAGCCUCUGUCUCAGCGGAGACAGGGCUGCCAGAUCCACUCUCCCAAGGGAGAUGGGAUGAUUUGGCGCAUCACUUUCACAGACUGCCUCUCCAACACCCCCAUUCCUGCUCUGCACUAGGUACAAAGGAAGACCUGUAAACCCCAAAGGCAAUGGGGAUGCAAUGAGUUUUGUCUGGUCAUUUUAAAGCAGGGCUUCUGUGAGUCCUGUGUCUCACUGUGUUCCUGGAGCCAUAAUCAGGCCGGGAAGCAAUUUCUGGAUGUAGCUGUGUUAGGGGGACAUUUGGUUUGUUGCAAC
rnacentral:lncRNA from 1 species